rnacentral:pre_miRNA from 1 species
AUUAUCUGGGGAUCUCAUUAAAAUGCAGAAUCUGAUUAAGCAAGUCUGAGAUUCUACAUUUCUAAUAAGCUCUCAGGUGAUGCUGA